CAACACAAGCAUAUAUACAAAUAUCAAAAAUAAAGAGAAAAUGAAGGGUAAUGCUACUUGCAUAGCAAGUACCACCGGAUUUUUGCAAUGGAAUUCUCCACUACCCUACCUCUAUGGCGGUCUCGGCCUAAUCUUGGGGCUCAUCACGGUGGCAUUACUCGUCCUCUCUUGCUCACCGGAAAAGCCAAAUGACAAAGAAGAAAAGCAAGCAAUGACCACCAAUACGCUUACUACGGAGCCUAGUUUCGUUGUCGUAAUGCCCGGACAUGAGAAUCCGACGUAUUUAGCCAAGCCCGUCUCUUCAAGUGGCCAUAUUGCCACACAAGUUUGAGGUCAUUUGCAUUUUUUUUCUUUUUCUUUUUUAAACACAAGUGCGAAAAUUGUAAUUAAUAUAUUGUUAGUGAAAAAGUUGUAAUAUAUUCUUUCCUCCCCUCAACACCGCCACCAAAAAAUGUCUAAAGUUCAACAAAAAUUAAAUUUAAAAUGUUAAAUUUGUUUUUUAGUGCAAAGGAGGCAAGGUUCAUUAUCAUCCUCUAGCAAUAUUGCUAGAAUUUUUAUAGGAGGAUCUCUG
rnacentral:lncRNA from 1 species